CCUACGGGCGGCAGCAGUGGGGAAUAUUGCACAAUGGGCGCAAGCCUGAUGCAGCCAUGCCGCGUGUAUGAAGAAGGCCUUCGGGUUGUAAAGUACUUUCAGCGAGGAGGAAGGCGUUAAGGUUAAUAACCUUGGCGAUUGACGUUACCCGCAGAAGAAGCACCGGCUAACUCCGUGCCAGCAGCCGCGGUAAUACGGAGGGUGCAAGCGUUAAUCGGAAUUACUGGGCGUAAAGCGCACGCAGGCGGUCUGUCAAGUCGGAGGUGAAAUCCCCGGGCUCAACCUGGGAACUGCAUCCGAAACUGGCAGGCUAGAGUCUUGUAGAGGGGGGUAGAAUUCCAGGUGUAGCGGUGAAAUGCGUAGAGAUCUGGAGGAAUACCGGUGGCGAAGGCGGCCCCCUGGACAAAGACUGACGCUCAGGCGCGAAAGCGUGGGGAGCAAACAGGAUUAGAUACCCCAGUAGUC
rnacentral:rRNA from 1 species